AUACGGAGGGUCCGAGCGUUAUCCGGAAUCAUUGGGUUUAAAGGGUCCGUAGGCGGGAAUCUAAGUCAGUGGUGAAAUCUUGCAGCUCAACUGUAAAAUUGCCAUUGAUACUGGAUUUCUCGAAUUAGUGUGAAGUGGUUAGAAUGUGUAGUGUAGCGGUGAAAUGCAUAGAUAUUACACAGAAUACCAAUUGCGAAGGCAGAUCACUAACACUAUAUUGACGCUGAGGGACGAAAGCGUGGGGAGCGAACAGGAUUAGAAACCCGAGUAGUCC
rnacentral:rRNA from 1 species